AACGAACGCUGGCGGCAGGCCUAACACAUGCAAGUCGAACGCUCCGCAAGGGGAGUGGCGCACGGGUGAGUAACACGUGGGAACCUACCUUCUGGUACGGAACAACCAAGGGAAACUUUAGCUAAGACCGUAUACGACCUCCGGGUGAAAGAUUGAUCGCCGGAAGAGGGGCCCGCGUCCGAUUAGGUAGUUGGUGAGGUAACGGCUCACCAAGCCUUCGAUCGGUAGCUGGUCUGAGAGGAUGACCAGCCACACUGGGACUGAGACACGGCCCAGACUCCUACGGAGGCAGCAGUGGGGAAUAUUGGACAAUGGGCGCAAGCCUGAUCCAGCCAUGCCGCGUGAGUGAUGAAGGCCUU
rnacentral:rRNA from 1 species